CCAGAAGUCCGGAGGUUUUGGCUCCUGUGGCUUUGAAGUCUCGCCCUUUGUCCUCUGCUUCCAGAAUAGAGUGGUUUUCCCAGGGCAGACGUGGCAUUCCUCAGGCCACAUCAUGCUUUCUAAAGUGGUGGAGACAGUGUUAAGAAACUAUCACUUCAAUUAAAGGAUCAAUGGAGGAUGGGACAAUGGUGACCUGGAAACAGCCCUGGAGAAAAUGUACCUUUAGAGCAGAAUAGUACGCACUGAUUUCCCUGCUAGGAAACAGGGCAAUUCAUCCCCUGCCUCAGUACCUAAGAAAGAAGGAAGGAAGCAAUAAGAGAAGAGAGGGAAGAGAGGAAGGAAGGUAAGUGCAGGAGGCAGAGAGUGACAAAGCAGUAAUAGUAGCAGUGUCACCUGACUGAUUACAACAUGUCUAUCUUUUCUUAAACUGGAACUCUCACCUGAGUCAGGCAGUUAUAAAUGAGCCAAAAA